rnacentral:rRNA from 1 species
GUUGUAUAGUCAAGUAAUUAAGUGCAUGUGGUGGAUGCCUUGGCAGUCAGAGGCGAUGAAAGACGUGAUAGCCUGCGAAAAGCUCCGGGGAGGCGGCAAAUAUCCUUUGAUCCGGAGAUGUCUGAAUGGGGGAACCCACCUACUUUAAGGUAGGUAUUGCAACAUGAAUACAUAGUGUUGCAAGGCGAACGAGGGGAAGUGAAACAUCUCAGUACCCUUAGGAAAAGAAAUCAAUUGAGAUUCCCUCAGUAGCGGCGAGCGAACGGGGAUCAGCCCAUUAAGUUAUGUGUGUUUUAGUGGAACGCUCUGGGAAGUGCGAACGUAGAGGGUGAUAUUCCCGUACACGAAAGGGCACACAUAAUGAUGACGAGUAGGGCGAGGCACGUGAAACCUUGUCUGAAUAUGGGGGGACCAUCCUCCAAGGCUAAAUACUCCUGACUGACCGAUAGUGAACCAGUACCGUGAGGGAAAGGCGAAAAGAACCCCUGUGAGGGGAGUGAAAUAGAUCCUGAAACCGCAUGCAUACAAGCAGUGGGAGCACCUUCGUGGUGUGACUGCGUUCCUUUUGUAUAAUGGGUCAGCGACUUAUAUUCAGUAGCGAGGUUAACCGUAUAGGGGAGCCGUAGAGAAAUCGAGUCUUAAUAGGGCGUUUAGUUGCUGGGUAUAGAC